rnacentral:rRNA from 1 species
AUUGAACGCUGGCGGCAGGCCUAACACAUGCAAGUCGAGCGGUAGAGAGGUGCUUGCAUCUCUUGAGAGCGGCGGACGGGUGAGUAAUGCCUAGGAAUCUGCCUAGUGGUGGGGGAUAACGUUCGGAAACGGACGCUAAUACCGCAUACGUCCUACGGGAGAAAGCGGGGGGAUCUUCGGACCUCGCGCCAUUAGAUGAGCCUAGGUCGGAUUAGCUAGUAGGUGAGGUAAUGGCUCACCUAGGCGACGAUCCGUAACUGGUCUGAGAGGAUGAUCAGUCACACUGGAACUGAGACACGGUCCAGACUCCUACGGGAGGCAGCAGUGGGGAAUAUUGGACAAUGGGCGAAAGCCUGAUCCAGCCAUGCCGCGUGUGUGAAGAAGGUCUUCGGAUUGUAAAGCACUUUAAGUUGGGAGGAAGGGCAGUAAGUAAUACCUUGCUGUUUUGACGUUACAACAGAAUAAGCACCGGCUAAACUUCGUGCCAGC